AUGCCGCCGAAGAAGAAAACAAUAGCAAACAUGGAGGCGAAGAUUGCAGAUCUGGAGCAAGAGUUAUCGUUGAUGAAGGUUGCUUUUUCUGACUCCAUCGCUGAGGUUCAACAAACGGCGAGGGAGAACCAAAGAGCGUUGAUGCAGAUGAUGGAGAAGGUCCUUGGCAAAAAGGUGGUUGAAGUUGAUGAUGGUGUCUCGUCGGCGGUCAAGAAGGCUACAACAUCCUAA